AUUGAACGCUGGCGGCAUGCCUUACACAUGCAAGUCGAACGGUAACAGGCCGCAAGGUGCUGACGAGUGGCGAACGGGUGAGUAAUGCAUCGGAACGUGCCCAGUCGUGGGGGAUAACUGCUCGAAAGAGCAGCUAAUACCGCAUACGACCUGAGGGUGAAAGCGGGGGCGCGUAAGGCCUCGCGCGAUUGGAGCGGCCGAUGUCAGAUUAGCUAGUUGGUGGGGUAAAGGCCUACCAAGGCAACGAUCUGUAGUUGGUCUGAGAGGUCGACCAGCCACACUGGGACUGAGACACGGCCCAGACUCCUACGGGAGGCAGCAGUGGGGAAUUUUGGACAAUGGGCGCAAGCCUGAUCCAGCAAUGCCGCGUGCAGGAAGAAGGCCUUCGGGUUGUAAACUGCUUUUGUCAGGGAAGAAAUCUUCUGGGCUAAUACCCCGGGAGGAUGACGGUACCUGAAGAAUAAGCACCGGCUAACUACGUGCCAGCAGCCGCCGUAACAC
rnacentral:rRNA from 1 species